rnacentral:rRNA from 1 species
UACAGAGGGUGCGAGCGUUAAUCGGAAUUACUGGGCGUAAAGCGUGCGUAGACGGUAGCGUAAGUCAGAUGUGAAAGCCCCGGGCUCAACCUGGGAACUGCAUUUGAGACUGCUCUGCUCGGGUGCGGAAGAGGGAAGCGGAAUUUCCGGUGUAGCGGUGAAAUGCGUAGAUAUCGGAAGGAACACCAGUGGCGAAAGCGGCUUCCUGGUCCGACACCGACGUUCAGGCACGAAAGCAUGGGGAUCAAACAGG